AUACUUACCUGGCAGGGGAAACACCACGAUCACGAAGGUGGUUUUCCCAGGGUAAGGCUUAUCCAUUGCACUCGGGAUAUGCUGACUCCUGUGAUUUUCCUGCAAGUAGGAAAACUCGACUGCGCGAUUUGUGGUAGUGGGGGACUGCUUUUGCAUUCUCCCC